rnacentral:rRNA from 1 species
GACAGAGGGUGCAAACGUUGUUCGGAAUUACUGGGCGUAAAGAGCUUGUAGGUGGUUUGUCGCGUUGUUCGUGAAAUCUCACGGCUCAACUGUGAGCGUGCGGGCGAUACGGGCAGACUAGAGUACUGCAGGGGAGACUGGAAUUCCUGGUGUAGCGGUGGAAUGCGCAGAUAUCAGGAGGAACACCGGUGGCGAAGGCGGGUCUCUGGGCAGUAACUGACGCUGGAGAAGCGAAAAGCGUGGGGGAGCGAACAGG